UCUGUUUUUCUAUGCUGUUUCAUAUCCUACUUUUUCUCCUUCCACUAUGUUUGAUAAGCGUGUGGUCAAAUGCCAUUUAAUGGAGCCGGAAAAAACUUGGGUUUUCCCAUUCUUUCUAUGUGCAGCCGCCCAAAGUAACCCUACUUUUUCCCCUUUCAAUUGCUUUCAGCCAUAACUCUCGCACUCUCUACCAGAGAUGGGUUAUUGGGACCAUCAACCAUCAUUAAUGGAGAUGACUCCUGAAUUCAAUUUAGAGAUGGAGCCAUUACCCGUCUCUUUUCUCCUAUUUAAGGUCCAUUAGAUCAAAUUUGCUGAUAAUGUUUUCACAUGAAGCAUUCUUUGAGCUAGCUACAGAUUUUUAUCCCAGCGCAUGUGUUCCAUCCAGCAGGUGUUAAAUAACAGACUAUGGUAGAUUAAGUGAUGGAAAUUGGGGGCUAUUUGCCUGUGUUAGUUGUAUAACAUAAACUGGACAUGUUAAACCAGUUAUUUGAAUUUGUAUUCAUUAUUUGUCUUCUUUUAGGUUGUGUACUUGCUGUGGUUACUGAUUUGGACGGAUCAAUUUUUCAAACAUCUCUUGCUUUCAGGGAUGAGCUUUAAUCUCUAUGCUGGGAGUUACAGUGUUAAAAUAAAUUUUGAUGUGUUAAGGAAAGAUAUGGUGUCAAAGGAAGAAGUAGAUUGUUAAAAACCAAAGAUUCGGUAAUUGCAUAGAAGGUGCUCUUUUCUUUAGGCAUUUUUUAGCAUUAGAGCUUAUGAAAUAUAUGUAUUUUUCAGUUGGAGGUAUAGGGUUAAUGUGUAUGUGCGGAUUACUAUCCAAUAAUAAUUUUGUUAUCAUGGC